rnacentral:miRNA from 1 species
GCAGACACAUUCCAGCCAAUCAGCAGCAGACCCUCCCUCCCAGACCCUCCCACCUCCUGGACAGCAUCCAUUUUACAUUCAUUGUGAAGCUGCAUUCUUAGUGAGCUGUCCAGGAGAUGGGAGGGUCUGGGAGGGAGGGUCUGCUGCUGAUUGGCUGAAAUGUGUCUG